ensembl:lncRNA
GCAGUGGAUCCCCUGCGGCAGCCCCUCGCGCCCUGUCAGAGCACCGCUCCAGCUGGUGACCCCAGGCCCCGGGCUAAGCAGCCUGCAGGAGGCCGUGGCCGUGCUGAGGGGCUUCUUUUCACAGAUCCAACGUGCCCAGCCCGCUGCCAGCACUGCCGUGCACGAGGGCUGCUCUCAGGCACCGGAGCCAUGGCGCCAGGCGGUGGCGGAGGCUCCCGGCUUCAGAAACACCUGCACUCUGUCUAGACAGACUUCCCUGGCCAAAACAGAUACGGCAACAACCAGUUCAAAGCAUCCACUGCCUCUCCAACGCCGUGCUUCCCUUAGACAGCUUCCUGGGUUAUCAGACAAAACGAUCGCCCUCCCAGCGGUGAUGUCCCAUCCUGUGACAUUAAUGGCAGGAAAAUUUAAAGCCAAAGGAACCUCUUGGCACAAUAUGUAAUUUGCCUGGGGAAAUUAGUUUCAAAAAGGAUCAGAAAGUUAAAUACUAUUGCUGGGCUUAAAGUGAAGGCGAAUAAUUUUAUAGCCAAAAUAAUGUUUUUCUAUGAUAAAUUAUGUAGAAGGAAG